GGUGAACAGCGAAGCCGCAUGCGCGGAAAGACGUAGGGGGGUUGCUUUGAUAUGAAAUACUGGGCGUCAAGCUCACGCAGGCGGAGUAGUAAGUCAGAGGUCAAAGGCUACGGCUCAACAGUAGUAAGACUCUGAAACGGAUGAACUUGAGUAUAGUAGAGGAAAGUGGAAUUCCCAGUGUAGCGGUGAAAUGCGUAGAUAUUGGGAGGAACACCAGUGGUGAAGGCGACUUUCUGGACUAUAACUGACGCUGAGGCACGAAAGCGUGGGGAGCAAACAGGAUUAGAUACCCGUGUAGUC
rnacentral:rRNA from 1 species